rnacentral:rRNA from 1 species
GGGAUAGAAUUCCAGGAGUAGCGGUGAAAUGCGUAGAUAUCUGGAGGAAUACCAAAGGCGAAGGCAGUCCCCUGGUCCGAUACUGACACUGAGGUACGAAAGCGUGGGGAGCAAACAGGAUUAGAUACCCUGGUAGUCCACGCCCUAAACGAUGUCGAUUAGCCAUUGGAAGGACCCCUUUUCCUUUCAGUGACGUAGCUAACGCGUUAAAUCGACCGCCUGGGAAGUACGACCGCAAGGUUAAAACUCAAAGGAAUUGACGGGGACCUGAACAAGCGGUGAAUGAUGUGGAUUAAUUCGAUGCUACGCGAAGAACCUUACCUACCUUUGACAUGGCCAAAGUUCUACCGAGGGGCGGAAGUACUCGUAAGAGGAUUGGCGCACAGGUGCUGCAUGGUUGUCGUCAGUUCGUGUCGUGAGAUGUUGGGUUCAGUCCCGCAACGAACGCAACCCUUAUCUUUAAUUGCUCCUAUUUUAACAGGCACUUUAAAGAAACUGCCAAUGAUAAGUUGGAGGAAGGUGGGGAUCACGUCAAGUCCGCAUGGCCUUUAUAGGUAGGGCUUCACACGUCAUACAAUGGUUAGAACAAAGAGCUGCAAAUUCGUAAGAAGGAGCCAAUCCCACAAACCUAACCUCAGUUCGAAUUGCGGUCUGCAACUCGAGCGCAUGAAGCCGGAAUCGCUAGUAAUCGUGGAUCAGAAUGCCACGGUGAAUACGUUCUUAGGUCUC